UCCAGACUCCUACGGGAGGCAGCAGUGAGGAAUAUUGGUCAAUGGGCUUACGCCUGAACCAGCCAAGUCGCGUGAGGGAAGACUGCCCUAUGGGUUGUAAACCUCUUUUGUCAGGGAGCAACGCCGGCUACGUGUAGCCGGACUGAGAGUACCUGAAGAAAAAGCAUCGGCUAACUCCGUGCCAGCAGCCGCGGUAAUACGGAGGAUGCGAGCGUUAUCCGGAUUUAUUGGGUUUAAAGGGUGCGUAGGCGGAAUGCCAAGUCAGCGGUAAAAUUGCGGGGCUCAACCUCGUCGAGCCGUUGAAACUGGGUGCCUUGAGUGGGCGAGAAGUACGCGGAAUGCGUGGUGUAGCGGUGAAAUGCAUAGAUAUCACGCAGAACUCCGAUUGCGAAGACAGCUUACUAAACUAUAACUGACACUGAAGCACGAAAGCGUGGGGAUCAAACAGGAUUAGAUACCCUAGUACG
rnacentral:rRNA from 1 species